AUGCUCCAUGCUGCUAAUGUGGCAAUCAGGAUAGGAUGUGAUCGGCUAAUUUUAGAAACCGACUCUCUUUUGUUGAAGCAGGCUUUAACAUCAAAUAUUUAUGAUCUAUCACAUUUAGGUGCUAUUUUCAGAGAUAUCAAAUGUCAACAUAGAGUUGGUUUAUCUCAUGUAUCUGUCAAACACUGCAGCAGGAAAUGUAACCAUGUUGCAUACACUUUAGCUGCACAUAGCACAACUAUGAGUAGAAGUACAUGGGAAAUUUGGCUUGACCAAUUUCCACCAUUUGUAUCAGACUGUGUAGCUGGAGAUUUUUCCAGCACUGCUAUAUAA
rnacentral:rRNA from 1 species